rnacentral:sRNA from 1 species
UAUCGAUGGGGAAUCCCAGUCUUUACGGA